AAAUCUAAAGAGUCUCACAAGUCCAUACUCC
rnacentral:sRNA from 1 species